AUGGAAAAGAAAUAUGCUAAGCCUAGACUCAUUAGAUGGGUUCUCUUGCUCCAAGAAUUUGAUUUGCAUAUUAUUGAUAGAAAGGGAGCUGAGAACCCCGUUGCAGAUAACUUGUCUAGGUUAGAGAACGUUCUUGAUGACCCACUGCCUAUUAAUGAUAGCUUUCCUGAUGAACAAUUAGCGGUUGUCAAUGCUUCUUGUACUGCUCCUUGGUAUCCUGAUUAUGCUAAUUACAUUGUUGCUAAAUAUAUACCACCUAGUUUAACAUAUCAGCAAAAGAAAAUGUUCUUUUAUGAUUUAAGACAUUACUUCUGGGAUGAUCCACACCUUUAUAAAGAAGGAGUAGAUGGUGUUAUUAGAUGUUGUGUGCCUGAGCAUGAACAGGAACAGAUCUUACGCAAGUGUCACUCUGAAUCCUAUGGAGGACACCACGCUGGAGAUUGA
rnacentral:rRNA from 1 species